GUCGUGAGAUGUUGGGUUAAGUCCCGCAACGAGCGCAACCCUUGUCAUUAGUUGCUACAUUCAGUUGGGCACUCUAAUGAGACUGCCGGUGACAAACCGGAGGAAGGUGGGGAUGACGUCAAGUCCUCAUGGCCCUUAUGGGUAGGGCUUCACACGUAAUACAAUGGCGCGUACAGAGGGUUGCCAAGGAGCGAUCUGGAGCCAAUCCCGUAAAGCGCGUCGUAGUCCGGAUUGCAGUCUGCAACUCGACUGCAUGAAGUCGGAAUCGCUAGUAAUCGCGGAUCAGCAUGUCGCGGUGAAUACGUUCCCGGGUCUUGUACACACCGCCCGUCACACCAUGGGAGUGGGUUUCACCAGAAGCCGGUCGCUUAACCCGCAAGGGAUGGCGCCGACCACGGUGAGAUUCAUGACUGGGGUGAAGUCGUAACAAGGUAGCCGUAUCGGAAGGUGCGGCUGGAUCACCUCCUUUCUAGACAAGCACCUCCCCAGUACCCACCAUCUAUCGGUUGUAUUCUCCCGCCGCGCCGCGAGGUGCGGCGGGGGCUGCUCUUUAACAAUCUGGGAUAGAAGGUAGUUGUCCUUUGCGAGAGCGCGUUGUGAUGACGCGCGGGUAGCGGGGGACUGGGUUAUGUAUUGCAUCGUGUUCGCGUCGUAAAUGGCGUGGACGCACAAGCGCGAGAGUUUCCUAUGAUCUGGUGAUGGCUGCGGCGACUUUGGCCGUGGUUGCUUCUUGCAUUUCGAGAGGCAGCAAGGUUAUAGGGUCAAGCGAAUAAGUGCAUGUGGUGGAUGCCUUGGCGAUGACAGGCGACGAAGGACGUGACAGCCUGCGAUAAGCUGCGGGGAGCCGGCAAAUGGGCGCUGAUCCGCAGAUUU
rnacentral:sRNA from 1 species